CUUCUGAUUGAUAACAUUUGAGUGAGUGGCGGACGGGUGAGUAACACGUGGGUAACCUGCCCAGAAGUAGGGGAUAACACCUGGAAACAGAUGCUAAUACCGUAUAACAGAGAAAACCGCAUGGUUUCUUUUAAAAGAUGGCUCUGCUAUCACUUCUGGAUGGACCCGCGGCGUAUUAGCUAGUUGGUGAGGUAAAGGCUCACCAAGGCAGUGAUACGUAGCCGACCCUGAGAGGGUAAUCGGCCACAUUGGGACUGAGACGCGGCCCAGACUCC
rnacentral:rRNA from 1 species